rnacentral:lncRNA from 1 species
GUUGAAUAAAUCCAGAACAUAACCCCGAAAGCCCACAUCUUAAAAAACUAAAACCCUACGUCUCCAAAAAAUCGGCGUUUGAUUCUCAUCCCCAUCUCACUGCACCGCGCAAACGUGCCCCCCCCCCGGCUCGCCUGCCACCGCCGUUGCUACGCCUCUCUCCAGACUCUACUCGGCCCUGAAACCUCCGUACACCCUUCAAGUCUUCAUUUUUAAAGAGUAAGAUUUUUAGUAGUGAGUAGCUUGAAGCCAAUCGCCCAUUUGACUAUUGAGGCUAGUCACUCGAGCAUUAAAGGUCGGAGAUGAAGUUUUUCUCAAAAGCAUUCUAAACUCUAUCGAGACUGUAGCAAGACGAAGGGUCCAGAGCUUGGACCCAAGUUGGUGGUACAGAGAUUGGACCAGAAUGGUCUGAAACAAACGUUCAAGUACUAAUAAAAAGAUGAAAACUUGGUAAGACCAUAUAGUUUAUUUUCUACAAUUCAAGAUUGUAUUAGUGCAUCCAUCGCAUGACCCUAUCCAUUCAUCUCGGUAGUCCAUAAGGAUUGAGGACGCAACAUGACUCAAGAUUUUAUGCUUUUUAUUUCUUUAAUUGCUUUUAAUUUCUUUGUUAAAUGUUGACUUUAUGUUAGAUAACGUUAUAACUUAUUUACGGUUAGUGUUUUUGUUAUGAACAUGUUUAUUUGAAAUAUAAUGAAGUUUUGUUUCUU